rnacentral:siRNA from 1 species
AUCCCGUGUAUUACAUGGUUGGGA